UACGAAGGGGGCUAGCGUUGCUCGGAAUUACUGGGCGUAAAGGGCGCGUAGGCGGACAGUUUAGUUGGGGGUGAAAGCCCGGGGCUCAACCUCGGAAUUGCCUUCGAUACUGGCUGUCUUGAGUACGGGAGAGGUGUGUGGAACUCCGAGUGUAGAGGUGAAAUUCGUAGAUAUUCGGAAGAACACCAGUGGCGAAGGCGACACACUGGCCCGUUACUGACGCUGAGGCGCGAAAGCGUGGGGAGCAAACAGG
rnacentral:rRNA from 1 species